GGCCAAUGGUGUGAUAGGGUUCUC
rnacentral:siRNA from 1 species